rnacentral:lncRNA from 1 species
GGGUACAAUCGAAGUCAUAACAUAUGACUAAUAAAAACAUAUAAUAUAACAAAUCCUAAUCUAAUAAGGCACGCAUAACACCCUUAUUUUCUAUACAUCGAUUUAAGCAUCAAGAUCCCAUGAUAAUAAAAAUUCUAAAUAAUUAUAAAUUUAUAAUUUAAUAAUUAAAAUUUUAAAAUUUUAAAAUCAUACAAAUCAAUAGUUCUAUCACAUAAAACUACAAAUCCAAAAUUCAAACCCUAGAAUCAGCUUGCCG